rnacentral:rRNA from 1 species
GACGAACGCUGGCGGCGUGCUUAACACAUGCAAGUCGAACGGAAAGGCCCUGCUUUUGUGGGGUGCUCGAGUGGCGAACGGGUGAGUAACACGUGAGUAACCUGCCCUUGACUUUGGGAUAACUUCAGGAAACUGGGGCUAAUACCGGAUAGGAGCUCCUGCUGCAUGGUGGGGUUUGGAAAGUUUCGGCGGUUGGGGAUGGACUCGCGGCUUAUCAGCUUGUUGGUGGGGUAGUGGCUUACCAAGGCUUUGACGGGUAGCCGGCCUGAGAGGGUGACCGGCCACAUUGGGACUGAGAUACGGCCCAGACUCCUACGGGAGGCAGCAGUGGGGAAUAUUGCACAAUGGGCGGAAGCCUGAUGCAGCAACGCCGCGUGCGGGAUGACGGCCUUCGGGGUGUAAACCGCUUUCGCCUGUGACGAAGCGUGAGUGACGGUAAUGGGUAAAGAAGCACCGGCUAACUACGUG